AUUGAACGCUGGCGGCAGGCCUAACACAUGCAAGUCGAGCGGAUGACGGGAGCUUGCUCCUUGAUUCAGCGGCGGACGGGUGAGUAAUGCCUAGGAAUCUGCCUGGUAGUGGGGGACAACGUUUCGAAAGGAACGCUAAUACCGCAUACGUCCUACGGGAGAAAGCAGGGGACCUUCGGGCCUUGCGCUAUCAGAUGAGCCUAGGUCGGAUUAGCUAGUAGGUGAGGUAAUGGCUCACCUAGGCGACGAUCCGUAACUGGUCUGAGAGGAUGAUCAGUCACACUGGAACUGAGACACGGUCCAGACUCCUACGGGAGGCAGCAGUGGGGAAUAUUGGACAAUGGGCGAAAGCCUGAUCCAGCCAUGCCGCGUGUGUGAAGAAGGUCUUCGGAUUGUAAAGCACUUUAAGUUGGGAGGAAGGGCAGUAAGUUAAUACCUUGCUGUUUUGACGUUACCGACAGAAUAAGCACCGGCUAACUACGUGCCAGCCGCCGCGGUAA
rnacentral:rRNA from 1 species